GGGUGAAUAACCUGUGUGGAUGACGGUACCGGAAGAAGAAGCACCGGCUAACUACGUGCCAGCAGCCGCGGUAAUACGUAGGGUGCGAGCGUUAAUCGGAAUUACUGGGCGUAAAGCGUGCGCAGGCGGUUUUGUAAGACAGAUGUGAAAUCCCCGGGCUUAACCUGGGAACUGCAUUUGUGACUGCAAGGCUAGAGUACGGCAGGAGGGGGGUAGAAUUCCACGUGUAGCAGUGAAAUGCGUAGAUAUGUGGAGGAAUACCGAUGGCGAAGGCAGCCCCCUGGGUCGAUACUGACGCUCAUGCACGAAAGCGUGGGGAGCAAACAGGAUUAGAUACCCUGGUAGUCCACGCCCUAAACGAUGUCAACUAGGUGUUGGGGGGGGAGACUUCCUUAGUACCGCAGCUAACGCGUGAAGUUGACCGCCUGGGGAGUACGGUCGCAAGAUUAAAACUCAAAGGAAUU
rnacentral:rRNA from 1 species